rnacentral:snRNA from 1 species
ACUUAUAGAGAAGAUUAGCAUGGCCCCUGCGCAAAGAUGGCAACGCAAAUUUGUGAAGCGUUCCAUAUUGGA